GACGAACGCUGGCGGCGUGCCUAAUACAUGCAAGUCGAGCGAAUCAAUGGGAGCUUGCUCCCUGAGAUUAGCGGCGGACGGGUGAGUAACACGUGGGUAACCUGCCUGUAAGAUUGGGAUAACUCCGGGAAACCGGAGCUAAUACCGGAUAACAUUUCGAACCGCAUGGUUCGAAAUUGAAAGAUGGUUUCGGCUAUCACUUACAGAUGGACCCGCGGCGCAUUAGCUAGUUGGUGAGGUAACGGCUCACCAAGGCGACGAUGCGUAGCCGACCUGAGAGGGUGAUCGGCCACACUGGGACUGAGACACGGCCCAGACUCC
rnacentral:rRNA from 1 species